AUUGAACGCUGGCGGAAUGCUUUACACAUGCAAGUCGAACGGCAGCACGGACUUCGGUCUGGUGGCGAGUGGCGAACGGGUGAGUAAUGCAUCGGAACGUGCCCAAUCGUGGGGGAUAACGUAGCGAAAGUUACGCUAAUACCGCAUACGAUCUAAGGAUGAAAGCGGGGGAUCGCAAGACCUCGCGCGAAUGGAGCGGCCGAUGUUAGAUUAGGUAGUUGGUGGGGUAAAGGCUCACCAAGCCGACGAUCUAUAGCUGGUCUGAGAGGAUGAUCAGCCACACUGGGACUGAGACACGGCCCAGACUCCUACGGGAGGCAGCAGUGGGGAAUUUUGGACAAUGGGCGCAAGCCUGAUCCAGCAAUGCCGCGUGCAGGAUGAAGGCCUUCGGGUUGUAAACUGCUUUUGUACGGAGCGAAACGGCUUCCACUAAUACUGGGGGCUAAUGACGGUACCGUAAGAAUAAGCACCGGCUAACUACGUGCCAGCCGCCGCCGUAACAC
rnacentral:rRNA from 1 species